ensembl:lncRNA
UGUGUGUGUGUGUGUGUGUGUUUUAUUUUUUUCUUUCUUGGAAAUUUACAUGUCUUCAGAACAACUAAAAUUCACAAGAACAAACUAAUUAAUGGAUUCCAAUUUUGACAGCUACAAGAAGACAGAUGAGAAAGUAACAUGCUUCUGGCAGCGUGUUAUCAAUUGGGAGGCACCAGUGCAUUGCCUCUACGUGGCACAGUGAGCUGGAACCGACACUGACAGAUGACACAGCCCUUGACAGUGAAGCCUGUAUGAGCUGACAGCUCCACUCGCGCUCAGAUAACAUUGCAAAGGAACGGAGAGCCCUAUUAAAGGGAAAAUCCAUGUUUUAUGGCCCUGGUGAGAGGGUUUAUUGCAGCCAGCACAUCUCCGUCCCUCACUCCCUACAGCUCCACAUGGCCCCUCUGCCCGCUUCCAUCCUGCUCAUUACGGCCUCCUUUGGCCCCUCAGAGCAGCUGUCAGUGCUCCCCUGGCCUCGCACUGAGGUGACACAGGCAAUAAUGCCGGCACGAGCCAGAGCGGCAUCGGGCACACUUGGCCACGCUCAGCAUCUGUCAGUGGGAGCUAUUGGGAAGAUCGAUGGGGGGUUAUAUGGCCUUGUUUGUGCACAUGUGCUUCAGAAUAGGGUGCAUAACUAGAGAGAGCAUAAUUCUGCUAGCUUCAGUGGGACCAUUUGUAUCCUUAAUAUCAUGCUCGUGUUUUAAGGACUUUGCCAAUUCAGGACCUAAAUAUGAACUUUGUGUUGUAGGAGCAUUUCCCCGGCUUUCUCAGUGCCGGCGCGACCCGUGCAUACUGUCAUUUCAUCUGCUUGGGGGUUUGUAGGACCACAGAACAGGAAGUGCAUUUCCUACAGCCUGUUUUUGACUCUUGAAAUGUAAGAGAAGAAAAAAGUUCAUUAAAAACUGGUCUAUACUAAGACGGCUGCUUACUUCUUGUAAGUACUUCUCUCAGCGAAGAUCUAUGAGGACAACAUUAAGUGGUUUUUUUUUCAGAUAUUGAUAUUUUUGCUUACUGU